GACGAACGCUGGCGGCGUGCUUAACACAUGCAAGUCGAACGAUGAAGCCCAGCUUGCUGGGUGGAUUAGUGGCGAACGGGUGAGUAACACGUGGGCAACCUGCCCCAAACUCUGGGAUAACUCCUCGAAAGAGGUGCUAAUACCGGAUACGAACUAGACAGACAUCUGUACUAGUUGGAAAGUUUUUCGGUUUGGGAUGGGCCCGCGGCCUAUCAGCUUGUUGGUGAGGUAACGGCUCACCAAGGCUACGACGGGUAACCGGCCUGAGAGGGCGACCGGUCACACUGGGACUGAGACACGGCCCAGACUCCUACGGGAGGCAGCAGUGGGGAAUAUUGCGCAAUGGGCGAAAGCCUGACGCGUCGACGCCGCGUGAGGGAUGAAGGUCUUCGGAUCGUAAACCUCUUUCAGUAGGGACGAAGCGAAAGUGACGGUACCUAAAGAAGAGGCACCGGCUAACUACGUGCCAGCAGCCGCCGCGG
rnacentral:rRNA from 1 species